UGCCAGCAGCCGCGGUAAUACGGGGGGAGCUAGCGUUUUUCGGAUUUACUGGGCGUAAAGGGCGCGUAGGCGGUUAAUAAAGUUGAAAGUGAAAUCCCCGGGCUUAACCUGGGAACUGCUUUCAAAACUCAUUAACUAGAGAACGAUAGAGGAUAACAGAAUUCCUAGUGUAGAGGUGAAAUUCUUAGAUAUUAGGAGGAAUACCGGUGGCGAAGGCGGUUAUCUGGGUCGUUUCUGACGCUGAGGCGCGAAAGCGUGGGGAGCAAACAGGAUUAGAUA
rnacentral:rRNA from 1 species